CCCUAGAGUGGGGGAUAACGUAGCGAAAGUUACGCUAAUACCGCAUACGAUCUAAGGGUGAAAGUGGGGGAUCGCAAGACCUCAUGCUCGUGGAGCGGCCAAUAUCUGAUUAGCUAGUUGGUAGGGUAAAAGCCUACCAAGGCAUCGAUCAGUAGCUGGUCUGAGAGGACGACCAGCCACACUGGAGCUGAGACACGGUCCACACUCCUACGGGAGGCAGCAGUGGGGAAUUUUGGACAAUGGGCGAAAGCCUGA
rnacentral:rRNA from 1 species